rnacentral:rRNA from 1 species
UACGGGGGGGGCAAGCGUUGUUCGGAAUUACUGGGCGUAAAGGGCGCGUAGGCGGGCGGGCAAGUCCCUCGUGAAAGCCCACGGCUCAACCGUGGAAUUGCGGGGGAAACUGCUCGUCUUGAGUCCGGGAGAGGAGUGUGGAAUUCCCAGUGUAGCGGUGAAAUGCGUAGAUACUGGGAGGAACACCGGUGGCGAAGGCGGCACUCUGGACCGGUACUGACGCUGAGGCGCGAAAGCUAGGGGAGCAAACGGG